rnacentral:ncRNA from 1 species
CAUAGCCACUAGGGGAGCCCCAUGAUGCGGGGCUGAGAUAAAGAAGCAUUUCUUUGACCCUUGGAACCUGUUUGACGGCUUGGGGAAUGUAUGGCCUCGAAGCUUGUCCUGGAUGAUGCCAGCGUAGGGAAGUGGACGAAGUGCUCG